GUGAAUCAUCGAAUUUUUGAACGCAAAUUGCACUCUCUGGUAUUCCGGAGAGCAAGCCUGUUUGAGGGUUAGUGUAACUAAAAAUCGGAGUGGUUGUUGCAUUUCGUGGUGACGCAAUGGAUUUGGGUCGUAUUGCCUUCGUUUAAGUGACCUAAAAUUUUGCAUGAUUUUGUUCGAACGUAUUUAAAUGAUGUUACGUACGAUAGCGAUAAAGAAUGC
rnacentral:misc_RNA from 1 species